UGGGGAAUUUUGGACAAUGGGGGCAACCCUGAUCCAGCCAUUCCGCGUGAGUGAAGAAGGCCUUCGGGUUGUAAAGCUCUUUUGUCCGGAACGAAACGGCUACGUCUAAUACACGUGGCUACUGACGGUACCGGAAGAAUAAGCACCGGCUAACUACGUGCCAGCAGCCGCGGUAAUACGUAGGGUGCGAGCGUUAAUCGGAAUCACUGGGCGUAAAGCGCGUGUAGGCGGCCUGCUAAGUCUGAUGUGAAAGCCCGAGGCUCACCCUCGGAAGUGCAUUGGAAACUGGCAGACUGGAGUCCCGGAGAGGAGGGUGGAAUUCCUGGUGUAGCGGUGAAAUGCGUAGAUAUCAGGAGGAACACCGGUGGCGAAGGCGGCCCUCUGGACGGUGACUGACGCUGAGACGCGAAAGCGUGGGGAGCAAA
rnacentral:rRNA from 1 species